rnacentral:rRNA from 1 species
GAUGAACGCUAGCGGCAGGCUUAAUACAUGCAAGUCGUGGGGCAGCAUGAGUAGCAAUACUUGAUGGCGACCGGCAAAACGGGUGAGGAACACGUACACAACCUUCCUUCAAGCGGGGAAUAGCCCAGAGAAAUUUGGAUUAAAUACCCCAUAAUAUAUUUGAUAAGGCAUCUUAUUAAUAUUAAAAGCUUCGGCACUUGAUGAUGGGUGUGCGGCUGAUUAGAUAGUUGGCGGGGUAACGGCCCACCAAGUCUACGAUCAGUAGCUGAUGUGAGAGCAUGAUCAGCCACACGGGCACUGAGACACGGGCCCGACUCCUACGGGAGGCAGCAGUAAGGAAUAUUGGACAAUGGACGAAAGUCUGAUCCAGCCAUGCCGCGUGAAGGAUUAAGGUCCUCUGGAUUGUAAACUUCUUUAUAUGGGACGAAAAAGGGCAUUCUUGUUCACUUGACGGUACCAUAUGAAUAAGCACCGGCUAACUCCGUGCCAGCAGCCG